rnacentral:rRNA from 1 species
GACGAACUGCCCAAACGUUGUUCGGAAUCACUGGGCUUAAAGGGCGCGUAGGCGGCGAAUCAAGUCAGGGGUGAAAUCCGGCAGCUCAACUGUCGAAGUGCCUUUGAUACCGAUUUGCUCGAGGGAGGUAGGGGUGCGCGGAACUUCUGGUGGAGCGGUGAAAUGCGUUGAUAUCAGAAGGAACGCCGGUGGCGAAAGCGGCGCACUGGACCUCUUCUGACGCUGAGGCGCGAAAGCUAGGGGAGCAAACGGG